rnacentral:rRNA from 1 species
CCUACGGGUGGCAGCAGUGGGGAAUAUUGGGCAAUGGGCGCAAGCCUGACCCAGCAACGCCGCGUGAAGGAAGAAGGCUUUCGGGUUGUAAACUUCUUUUAAGAGGGAAGAGCAGAAGACGGUACCUCUUGAAUAAGCCACGGCUAACUACGUGCCAGCAGCCGCGGUAAUACGUAGGUGGCAAGCGUUGUCCGGAUUUACUGGGUGUAAAGGGCGUGCAGCCGGGAAGACAAGUCAGAUGUGAAAUCCCGCGGCGCAACCGCGGAACUGCCUUUGAAACUGUUUUUCUUGAGUACCGGAGUGGUAAGGGGAUUUCCGUGUGGAGCGGGGAAAUGCGUAGAAAUAGGGAGGAAC